GCAGCACGGUGGCAGAUAUCCCAGAACUAAGGAAGGCUGCCAAGGGGGAAAGAGAAAAAGAAAGGACUUCCCGAAAGCAGCCAGCCCAGGCACACUGCCUUCCCAACAGCUGGACGAGAUGGGAGCAACACACAGGAAUGGGGGCUUACAAUGGGCCAGAGAGACUUCACUCUCAAAACCGAGGAGACAUCCCCGCUUGGGAGAAAAGUGGCUCUCCUGGUGAAAGACAGUCAGGAACCAUGCCAGUUCUGAUGGCAUCAGAGCUGCCAGGAUGGCGUUCUUCCUGGAGAUGGCACAAAGGCAGUGAGGACGGAGCAGUCACCUGGGUGGGAUGGCUGCGCCCACCCCUGUCACGGUCUUCUGUCUCGACCUUGGCCCAACAAAUACAAUGACAAAUGAGGGAAAGUAAUUACAUAUAAAAAAAAUCAAAGUGAAUGGAUAUGUGGGUGGAGCGAACAUAAAAGAAGAAAGUAAAAGUGAUUUUGAAAAGUUGCUCAGGGCUGCUUUCUGUAAUUGCCGUAGAAAUCUGAGACCCAUUGCUUCAUGUGUCUGAGUUCCACAGAGCGGGCCAACUGCAAGGAUGGUGGGUCCGUCUCAGUGCUGGGUCGCAGGUCUAAAUGGUGGGCCCCAUCUGGGAUGUUGACUGCCACCAGGGUAUCGGAGAGAUCUUCGGUAACUCCACCUCCUGACCAUGGGUCCAGGUCACCAUUGCUGAAGUGAGGGAAACAAGAAAAAUUAAGGUUGUCAGUUCUCUAUGACCGCAUUCAAAUACAAUAUGAGAAACAUUCUUUGUGCAUAAGCCUGAAAAUAUGAACAAGUUGGGAGGUUUGGUCUGAGGAUCUACUUGGUCACAUUAAAGAGUUUCUUGGUGCUUGAUGCUUCCUAUUAUUUCAACAAAACACAUUUAUUUGUUAUAAAUGCAAAAGAGAAGAGGACAACAUGAGACUAGUGGGAUUUUAGACGCCUUUUUUUUUAAAGGAAUGCGUUAAUAGCAGGUUUGAUGGAAGUACUCGUGGUACUCAUUGGAUGUUUUGGUUUUAGUUCUCAGUGUGCUUCAUUCUUGUAAAGAAUUGCUUAUAACUUAAGUGCUCACAACAACAAAAAGCAGUAAUAGGCAUAAGGCGUGAUUGUGAGGAACAGACCACAGGACCCUGAAAGUCUCCUAAACACAUGUGGUCUUAUUUUUCUUUAAGUUGAGUGUUGCAGUCCCACGAACUGUUUGAAAGUUGGCAGGAAACAUGUGGACUGAAUACUGUGUCAUAAGUAUGCCAAAUAUGUCUCCUGAAAGCUUGAAAUCUGUUUUCAAAUUUUUGUGUCAAAUUGACAUACAAAGCUAUACACUUUUUGCAGUUUAUGGGAUUGUUUUGCCAGAGUACUGAAAUGCAUAGAAGUGCUUGCUUUCAAUUUGAGCUUGCUAUAAUUUCAGUUUCCAUCAGAACACUAUUGUAAUUUGAAAACUGUAUUGAUUGGUAAGUUAGUUUUCACCUUGAAGAUGUAUAUUUAACUCAUUUGAAUGAGUGGUUAAGUCUGUUAAAAAUGUUAAAUCUAUAAGCCAGUUUCCAUCAUCAAGUCCUGGUACAAUUUUUUUUUUUGAUAGCAUAAAUGAUUUGAUAAUACCUCAUCAGUUAUGAAAUCUACUCAGUAUUUGCUCACGACUUAGCUAUCUUGCUUCUGAAAAGUAAAUGACAUCACCAUAGUUAGCAUUAACACUUUCAAGGAAUUCCUGCAGUUGGCAAUUGAAUCCUUUGGCCCUUAGGAAAUUCAGCAUCUUAACAAUGACUUGCAUGAUGCUCUCCAUUUUAAUGCUUUGUAUGUUAAUAAACUCACCAUCAGAAAAUG